UUUCAAAAUGAGUUUUCGGAUGGGAACGUUUUAAACUAAUAGAUGUGGAUUUAUGAAGAAAACAUUGCAAUCUUGUGAUUGAAUAAAUGUGAAUGAAUUUAUGUGAUGUGGUGAAUGUAUAUGGUUGUUUAUAUACUGUGAUUGUAUCUUGUACUUGUGCGACGCCGUGCAAAUACAGGGGAGACUCUGUCCGUGUGAACAGUGGACUUCUUGUAUUUGUAGCGGAUCUGACAUCCCUUAGGGUCAAGGUUUUAAAAA
rnacentral:lncRNA from 1 species